rnacentral:rRNA from 1 species
UACGUAGGGGGCAAGCGUUGUCCGGAUUUAUUGGGCGUAAAGAGCGUGUAGGCGGCCAUGUAGGUCCGUUGUGAAAACUCGAGGCUCAACCUCGAGACGCCGAUGGAAACCAUGUGGCUAGAGUCCGGAAGAGGAGAGUGGAAUUCCUGGUGUAGCGGUGAAAUGCGCAGAUAUCAGGAGGAACACCGGUGGCGAAGGCGGGACUCUGGGCCGAUACUGACGCUGAGGAGCGAAAGCGUGGGGAGCAAACAGG